CAGUAGCCACGGGAAUACGGAGGGGGCUAGCGUUGUUCGGAAUUACUGGGCGUAAAGCGCACGUAGGCGGCUUGGUAAGUUAGAGGUGAAAGCCUGGAGCUCAACUCCAGAAUUGCUUUUAAGACUGCCGAGCUAGUAGGUGAGAGAGGUAAGUGGAAUUCCGAGUGUAGAGGUGAAAUUCGUAGAUAUUCGGAAGAACACCAGUGGCGAAGGCGGCUUACUGGCUCAUUCUAGACGCUGAGGUGCGAAAGCGUGGGGAGCAAACAGGAUUAGAUACCCCCGUAGUCCCUGUCUCUUAUAC
rnacentral:rRNA from 1 species